GCUCUUAUUAAAUAUAUAUCCAUUUUGCGAAAUUACGAUAUCUUUUUUUGUAUUUCUUAUUCUAUAUACUUUCUUUUGUCCGCCACUAUAUGAUAAAAAUACUAGUUUUAAGAUAUGGGUAUUGUUAUUUUAAACGUUAUAUAUAUAUACACGUAUUCAGUGUGCUCCAAAAUGAAGCUCAGUCGGUAAAAAUGACGAUGAUCAGUGACGACAGAAUAAGCAAAGGAAGAAAAAUACGCAGGCGUAUUUUCGUCACGCGGCUGCGAUACGCUUGAUACAAACAUUUAUAUCCAAAGCAAACAGCGAUUGUUGCAGUCGCCUUGUGCAAAUACUGAACAGGCAACGAUUACAAGGCUGGAAUGUGGGUUGUCUUCCAUUUGGUUCGGUUCGAAUUCUGGAUUCUUUUUUGGAAGUGGCUGAUAAACGAUUACGAAGAAUAGAUAAAGGCCGCGGUGCGGAGUUGAUGUUGAUUCCUCGGUCAGCUUACGCAUGACGUCACUCUGUUCCCCGUUUUCUACCAAUUGACUUUGCCCUUAUUCAAAGGCCUUUAGAGCGUCUCGUCGCAAGCUUCUAUUAUAGUGAUUCCAUUCAUAAUAGCCUCUGUCUGUAUCUUUUAGAAAUAUUCAGUUUGUCAGACCUAAGUGUACUAGUGUAUAUUCAGAAAUUUCGAAGCAAAAGUUAAAAUAAGUUUAGCUAGAAUAAACUUAUAUACAACAUUUAAAGGCAUCAUGAGGUGAUUUUUGGAGAGUUCUCUCGGCCACUCAAGUCUGGCGGAGCUGUUGGCGGUCACAAGGAACAAGAGGAAAGGAAGGAAACUGCAGCCAGUGCAAAAAAGGAACUGGUUUAAAGCGCGGUAGCACUUUCUGCGGACCAGAAUUCGCCUGCUUAGCAGCGUAAAGCUAUUGCACGUAACAAUCAACUAGCGUAUCUUGACAGUAGGAGAAAGUGUACUCUAUACAGUCCCGGACUUCCACUUUUCUAACUCACGCAAACCAAAUCUUCGCCUGUGGAAAACGCAACAAGUGAAGUCUGGCUUAUACUAAUUUUUAUAGAAAGUAGAGACGAUAGGAAAGUCAGAAAUAGAUAUAGUGGCUUACGAAAGUAUUCGAAAACUGUUAGAAGCUUUUUAUGUACAUAUAUAUUAUACAAAACAUUUUGAAAUCUGAUAUCGAUCAAAUUUGAAAGAGAUCUAAAAAUUAUAUAUAUAGAGGUUACAAGAUACUUAUUGGAAGCAUAUACUGCGCGUAAAUUAAAGUAUUUGAAGUCAAUUAUUAUUUACUAUAUUAAUAAGUCACAAUGUUUAGUGAGACUAUCUUUAGUAUUAAUCGUACAUUUAAGACUAUUAUUGACUUAAGAUUUCCACGAUGGUUUUCUGAAUUCAUCAUAUUUGAUCUUCAGGUUAUCAAUCGUGUUAUAUAUUAUUUUGUAAGCUGAUCUUUCGUGAAUGUUGUAAUUCACUUCUUCAGGGUUAUCCUGAAACUGUGUGUUUUCAGGUUUCUUUUUAUGGCCGAUUUCCAUUGGCCAACCAGAGGCACUUCUUUUACCAUGAAAAGCAUUGAUAAAAUCUAGAAAUACUCAGUUUCAGCAUAACACUGAAGAAGUAAAAUACGAAACGUCGGGUAACAAAGCAAUAUAUAAUAUGAUUGAUAAUCUGAAGAUCAAUUAUGAAUAGUAUUCAUGCUGUAUACUAAUUUUCUAUUGAGUGUAUAUUUGCGAUAUAUGUCUUGUAAUUUCUAUAUACAUUCCCAAUUAAUAUGGUAGUACAAUAAUUACGAUGAUCGUGUCUCGUUACACUGUUAACGAAUUUUCAAAAAGUUUUGUAGAAUGCAUAUAAUAUAUUCGUAAAAAAUUCUGUGGUCGGUAUACGAGUACUUCUGUGAACCACUGCCUUUUUGAUAGAAAAUUAUGAUAUUCGUCUAUUAUGUUGCACAUACAUGUACGUUUAACAGCGUACAAGUAACAUAUGGCAUCGAGAAAUGAUCGGGAAAGAAGCGUGUAUGAGGUCACUGAACCUCCCUAUGAGCUAACGACGCAUCGUACGUAUCCCUUUUCUCUCUUUUCGCGUUCGUUUCGGUUUUUUCCUGUUCCGUAAAAGAGAGGAGGCCGCCACACGCGCCUAACUGGCAAAACGUGUCACAUGGCUCGCAUCAUUGUGAGAGACGCAUGGUUUGUGGUAAUGGUAAUCCAAUCGCCGGAGACUCGUUCGACUUGAAACUCACUUGUGGUGUCGCUCCUCUAGCUUCGCCUCGUGUCUGCCAGGCCGCUCGACUUUUCUGCUCGUUGGCCUUUUCGGGCUGAAAAACGACGCGACCACGUCCCGCUUUUUUCCCGUGCCGGCCGGUGGCUUUGGUUCGGGUUUCGAUCUGAAAUUUUCAAUAAAAACGCUGUUUUUAUAUUUAUGAGAUAUUACAGAGACGAGAAUUUGUAAAAUCGAGCAAACACGAUUCAAAUACGAUCUUUAAUUUGUAACUAGAUUGUGAGUAUAAUAAUAACCUAAGUUAUAAAUUUAACAAAUUGAAAUUUGUGCACUUGUAUUCUAAAAUUGUAUAUUAUUAUAUUUUUAACCUUGUAUAAUACGUUAAAUAUAAUGUAUGUCACGGAGA